ACUUUUAUAGUAUAAAAAUUAUAUUUGACUUCCAAUCAAAAGAUCUAAUAAAUAGUAAAAGUA
rnacentral:tRNA from 2 species